UAUGCCUUGUUAGGUCUAAGAUGAAGCUGAGAUGAGAAGGGCCAAUGACCUUCAGACAUUAAGGAUGCAGCCUUUUAAUGCUUAGAAAAGUAAUUUUUGUCUAAAUGAGCAAAAGAAUGUGUAUCCUGACCAUUUAAAUUUAAAAACAAAAUGGAAAUAAGGCAAGCAAAAAAACAGUUACAUGAACUACUGGCGAAAAAGCAAAAGCAAAUAAUAAUAAAUCCUCUUCAAACACAUGAAGCACAGGAAGCCUGCUGGAGAGUCAGAAGUUGGCCAUGGUGCAACAGGAGCUCUCACAGGAGAUAAGGUGGGAACAAGGAAAAGAACAAAGUGGGUGUUUUGCAACCACAGUCGGCGAGGACAAGCUCUGAGAAGCAUCUGUGCCAAAACUCUGUGUAAGGACAUGGCACAGGAUUUGACUUACAUUCAAGCUACCUGCUGAGGAGGCUGAGGAAAAAAUAGCCAAACCAAAGACUGCAAAUUCACUGGGCUGAAGUGGCAUUCUCUUAAGUGCUCAGGAUGAGGAACCAGGAUGAAACAAUUCAAUUACUUAAUUGUAGCAGGUUCACCUGAAUCUCAUCUCCAUCCAAGCUGCACCACAGGCUGAUCACUGGCUUUGGGUUUAGUGCAAACCCAGGAGUCUCGUGGGAACCAACACCGCAGGAUGGGUCCUUCAGCACUGGCAGGGGCCAUUCAUUCAGCAGCCAUGGAGGAGCAGGACUUGGCCCAAAGCAAUAGAGGUUUCUCACGGCUGGGAUUCCCAAACAGCUCCAGGAGCUGUCACUGAUGGGCUUUCCAUAGCUCCUUUGUGGCCUGAAGUGCAUACCUGAGCCCACACUAAUGACAAGAAGCAGCUCUGGGCACCACGGGGACACUCCCACAGGAGCUGCACACGCAUUCAGGGCUGUCAGCAGCUCCUGACCACAGCAAGGAUGUAUCAAAAUAGGCACCAUGCAUUGUAGCUGAGGCAUCACACAAAGAUGCAGGCACCAAAGAGUCAUAGGUUAAGAUCCUGUUGGCAAGGAUAACAAAUUCCACAUCUGCAAAUAUAAUAGCCCAGGGCACAGGAAAAGAGUGCAUACGGUGUGUGCACAUUGCAAGGGGGUUAUGCGUUCUGCUGACUCUGUGCCCCACUUCCAAGCUGCCCUGAGGGGAGGAAAAAGAACAGUCCCAGUUACUAUGGUGAAAUCAGAUGGGCUGAAUGGG
ensembl:lncRNA